UACGGGGGGGGCAAGCGUUGUUCGGAAUUACUGGGCGUAAAGGGCUCGUAGGCGGCCAACUAAGUCGGACGUGAAAUCCCUCAGCUUAACCGGGGAACUGCGUCCGAUACUGGAUGGCUUGAGGUUGGGAGAGGGAUGCGGAAUUCCAGGUGUAGCGGUGAAAUGCGUGAGAUAUCUGGAGGAACACCGGUGGCGAAGGCGGCAUCCUGGACCAAUUCUGACGCUGAGGAGCGAAAGCCAGGGGAGCAAACGGG
rnacentral:rRNA from 1 species